AUGGGAGAGGACGCCGGCUGGGACCGCGAGUGGGAGCCUUAUUCACUGAACUGCUGUAAAGACUUCUUAACCCAUUACCUGCUGUUGUCUGCUCUGAAGAGAAGCUGUUGUGUGAAGAUCUCUUACCAUUGUCUGUUCCAUUAUCUGCUGUCAUGCUCUGAAGAUAAGCUGUUGUGUGAAAGUUUCUUACCACAGUCUGUUCCGUUGUCUGCCACUGCCUGCUCUGAAGAGAAGCUGCUGGGUGAAGCUCUCUUACCAAUGUCUGUUCUAUUAUCUGCUGUCUGCUCUGAAGAUAAGUCGCUGUGUGAAAGUCUCUUAUCACAGUCUGUUCCAUUGUCUGCCGCCGCCUGCUCCAAAGAGAAGCCGCUGGGUGAAGAUCUCUUACCACAGUCUGUUCCAUUGUCUGCCGCUGCCUGCUCCGAAGAGAAGCCGCUGGGUGAAGCUCUCUUACCACUGUCUGUUCCAUUAUCUGUUGUCUGCUCUGAAGAGAAGCCACUGUGUGGAGAGAAGCCGCUGUGCGAAGGUCUCUUACCAUCGUUUGUUCCAUGACCUGCUGCUGUCUGUCUGAAGAGAAGCUGCUGUGUGAAGGUCUCUUACCACCCUCUGACCCAUUAUCUGCCGUUGUCUGCUCUGAAGAGAAGCCGCUGUGUGAAGAUCUCUUACCACAGUUUGUUGCACUACCUGCCAUUGUCUGCCCUGAAGAGAAGCCGCUGGGAGAAGAUCUUUUUACCACUGUCUGUACGAUCACCUGCUGUGCCUGUUCGAAAAGGAACCGUUGUGUGCUUGACCUUUACUAUCGCCUGUACAGAUACGUAUCAUUCACUGCCCUGGAGAGGAACCGCUGUGAGAAUCCCUUCCCAUUGUCUAUGCAGGUAUUGACCAUUGGCUGUUCUGAAGAAGAAACACUAUACCCACCAUCGACUGUUCCGGAAAGCAACUGCUGAGUGGAGGUCUCGUAGCCCUAUCUGUCCAAUCCCUUGCCAUCGUCUGCUCCGAGGAAGACUUACUGAGGGACCCCCCCUUUACCAUCGCCUAAAAGGCUACUUACCAGUUCUGUCUGAAGAGGAACGAUUAAGUCGACUUCCCGUUCUGUUAUCCGCUGGGUUGCGACUGUUGCACCAAGGGCUCACACCGCUGCUGGACAGAGGAGAACAGAGUUGGAACUCUUCCAAUACGUGUUUUAAUAAUUAGGAUUUUAAUUCAAUAAAACUGUACUUUUAUUACUUACCUUGUUGUCU
ensembl:lncRNA